rfam:Ovis aries breed Texel chromosome 12, whole genome shotgun sequence.
GUGGACAUCUUACCGGACAGUGCUGGAUUUCUCGGCUCGACUCUAACACUGUCUGGUAACGAUGUUCAA